CGACUUAUAUUCUGUAGCAAGGUUAACCGUAUAGGGGAGCCGAAGGGAAACCGAGUCUUAACCGGGCGUUAAGUUGCAGGGUAUAGACCCGAAACCCGGUGAUCUAGCCAUGGGCAGGUUGAAGGUUGGGUAACACUAACUGGAGGACCGAACCGACUAAUGUUGAAAAAUUAGCGGAUGACCUGUGGCUGGGGGUGAAAGGCCAAUCAAACCGGGAGAUAGCUGGUUCUCCCCGAAAGCUAUUUAGGUAGCGCCUCGUGAAUUCAUCUCCGGGGGUAGAGCACUGUUUCGGCUAGGGGGCCAUCCCGGCUUACCAACCCGAUGCAAACUGCGAAUACCGGAGAAUGUUAUCACGGGAGACACACGGCGGGUGCUAACGUCCGUCGUGAAGAGGGAAACAACCCAGACCGCCAGCUAAGGUCCCAAAGUCAUGGUUAAGUGGGAAACGAUGUGGGAAGGCCCAGACAGCCAGGAUGUUGGCUUAGAAGCAGCCAUCAUUUAAAGAAAGCGUAAUAGCUCACUGGUCGAGUCGGCCUGCGCGGAAGAUGUAACGGGGCUAAACCAUGCACCGAAGCUGCGGCAGCGACGCUGAUGCGUUGUUGGGUAGGGGAGCGUUCUGUAAGCCUGCGAAGGUGGCCUGUGAGGGUUGCUGGAGGUAUCAGAAGUGCGAAUGCUGACAUAAGUAACGAUAAAGCGGGUGAAAAGCCCGCUCGCCGGAAGACCAAGGGUUCCUGUCCAACGUUAAUCGGGGCAGGGUGAGUCGACCCCUAAGGCGAGGCCGAAAGGCGUAGUCGAUGGGAAACGGGUUAAUAUUCCCGUACUUGGUGUUACUGCGAAGGGGGGACGGAGAAGGCUAUGUUGGCCGGGCGACGGUUGUCCCGGUUUAAGCGUGUAGGUGUGUGUUCCAGGUAAAUCCGGUUCACUUUAACACUGAGGCGUGACGACGAGGCACUACGGUGCUGAAGCAACAAAUGCCCUGCUUCCAGGAAAAGCCUCUAAGCAUCAGGUAACAUCAAAUCGUACCCCAAACCGACACAGGUGGUCAGGUAGAGAAUACCAAGGCGCUUGAGAGAACUCGGGUGAAGGAACUAGGCAAAAUGGUGCCGUAACUUCGGGAGAAGGCACGCUGACACGUAGGUGAAGUGAUUUACUCAUGGAGCUGAAGUCAGUCGAAGAUACCAGCUGGCUGCAACUGUUUAUUAAAAACACAGCACUGUGCAAACACGAAAGUGGACGUAUACGGUGUGACGCCUGCCCGGUGCCGGAAGGUUAAUUGAUGGGGUCAGCGCAAGCGAAGCUCCUGAUCGAAGCCCCGGUAAACGGCGGCCGUAACUAUAACGGUCCUAAGGUAGCGAAAUUCCUUGUCGGGUAAGUUCCGACCUGCACGAAUGGCGUAAUGAUGGCCAGGCUGUCUCCACCCGAGACUCAGUGAAAUUGAACUCGCUGUGAAGAUGCAGUGUACCCGCGGCAAGACGGAAAGACCCCGUGAACCUUUACUAUAGCUUGACACUGAACAUUGAGCCUUGAUGUGUAG
rnacentral:rRNA from 1 species